UACGUAGGGUGCGAGCGUUGUCCGGAAUUAUUGGGCGUAAAGAGCUUGUAGGCGGUUUGUCGCGUCUGCUGUGAAAUUUCGGGGCUCAACCCCGAACUUGCAGUGGGUACGGGCAGACUAGAGUGCGGUAGGGGAGACUGGAAUUCCUGGUGUAGCGGUGAAAUGCGCAGAUAUCUGGAGGAACACCGGUGGCGAAGGCGGCAUCCUGGACCGGUAUUGACGCUGAUGCGCGAAAGCCAGGGGGAGCAAACGGGG
rnacentral:rRNA from 1 species